rnacentral:rRNA from 1 species
GGGUUGUGAGGUUAAGCGACUAAGCGUACACGGUGGAUGCCCUGGCAGUCAGAGGCGAUGAAGGACGUGCUAAUCUGCGAUAAGCGUCGGUAAGGUGAUAUGAACCGUUAUAACCGGCGAUUUCCGAAUGGGGAAACCCAGUGUGAUUCGUCACACUAUCAUUAACUGAAUCCAUAGGUUAAUGAGGCGAACCGGGGGAACUGAAACAUCUAAGUACCCCGAGGAAAAGAAAUCAACCGAGAUUCCCCCAGUAGCGGCGAGCGAACGGGGAGGAGCCCAGAGCCUGAAUCAGUGUGUGUGUUAGUGGAAGCGUCUGGAAAGGCGCGCGAUACAGGGUGACAGCCCCGUACACAAAAAUGCACAUGCUGUGAGCUCGAUGAGUAGGGCGGGACACGUGGUAUCCUGUCUGAAUAUGGGGGGACCAUCCUCCAAGGCUAAAUACUCCUGACUGACCGAUAGUGAACCAGUACCGUGAGGGAAAGGCGAAAAGAACCCCGGCGAGGGGAGUGAAAAAGAACCUGAAACCGUGUACGUACAAGCAGUGGGAGCACGCUUAGGCGUGUGACUGCGUACCUUUUGUAUAAUGGGUCAGCGACUUAUAUUCUGUAGCAAGGUUAACCGAAUAGGGGAGCCGAAGGGAAACCGAGUCUUAACUGGGCGUUAAGUUGCAGGGUAUAGACCCGAAACCCGGUGAUCUAGCCAUGGGCAGGUUGAAGGUUGGGUAACACUAACUGGAGGACCGAACCGACUAAUGUUGAAAAAUUAGCGGAUGACUUGUGGCUGGGGGUGAAAGGCCAAUCAAACCGGGAGAUAGCUGGUUCUCCCCGAAAGCUAUUUAGGUAGCGCCUCGUGAAUUCAUCUCCGGGGGUAGAGCACUGUUUCGGCAAGGGGGUCAUCCCGACUUACCAACCCGAUGCAAACUGCGAAUACCGGAGAAUGUUAUCACGGGAGACACACGGCGGGUGCUAACGUCCGUCGUGAAGAGGGAAACAACCCAGACCGCCAGCUAAGGUCCCAAAGUCAUGGUUAAGUGGGAAACGAUGUGGGAAGGCCCAGACAGCCAGGAUGUUGGCUUAGAAGCAGCCAUCAUUUAAAGAAAGCGUAAUAGCUCACUGGUCGAGUCGGCCUGCGCGGAAGAUGUAACGGGGCUAAACCAUGCACCGAAGCUGCGGCAGCGACGCUUAUGCGUUGUUGGGUAGGGGAGCGUUCUGUAAGCCUGCGAAGGUGUGCUGUGAGGCAUGCUGGAGGUAUCAGAAGUGCGAAUGCUGACAUAAGUAACGAUAAAGCGGGUGAAAAGCCCGCUCGCCGGAAGACCAAGGGUUCCUGUCCAACGUUAAUCGGGGCAGGGUGAGUCGACCCCUAAGGCGAGGCCGAAAGGCGUAGUCGAUGGGAAACAGGUUAAUAUUCCUGUACUUGGUGUUACUGCGAAGGGGGGACGGAGAAGGCUAUGUUGGCCGGGCGACGGUUGUCCCGGUUUAAGCGUGUAGGCUGGUUUUCCAGGCAAAUCCGGAAAAUCAAGGCUGAGGCGUGAUGACGAGGCACUACGGUGCUGAAGCAACAAAUGCCCUGCUUCCAGGAAAAGCCUCUAAGCAUCAGGUAACAUCAAAUCGUACCCCAAACCGACACAGGUGGUCAGGUAGAGAAUACCAAGGCGCUUGAGAGAACUCGGGUGAAGGAACUAGGCAAAAUGGUGCCGUAACUUCGGGAGAAGGCACGCUGAUAUGUAGGUGAAGUCCCUCGCGGAUGGAGCUGAAAUCAGUCGAAGAUACCAGCUGGCUGCAACUGUUUAUUAAAAACACAGCACUGUGCAAACACGAAAGUGGACGUAUACGGUGUGACGCCUGCCCGGUGCCGGAAGGUUAAUUGAUGGGGUUAGCGCAAGCGAAGCUCUUGAUCGAAGCCCCGGUAAACGGCGGCCGUAACUAUAACGGUCCUAAGGUAGCGAAAUUCCUUGUCGGGUAAGUUCCGACCUGCACGAAUGGCGUAAUGAUGGCCAGGCUGUCUCCACCCGAGACUCAGUGAAAUUGAACUCGCUGUGAAGAUGCAGUGUACCCGCGGCAAGACGGAAAGACCCCGUGAACCUUUACUAUAGCUUGACACUGAACAUUGAGCCUUGAUGUGUAGGAUAGGUGGGAGGCUUUGAAGUGUGGACGCCAGUCUGCAUGGAGCCGACCUUGAAAUACCACCCUUUAAUGUUUGAUGUUCUAACGUUGACCCGUGAUCCGGGUUGCGGACAGUGUCUGGUGGGUAGUUUGACUGGGGCGGUCUCCUCCUAAAGAGUAACGGAGGAGCACGAAGGUUGGCUAAUCCUGGUCGGACAUCAGGAGGUUAGUGCAAUGGCAUAAGCCAGCUUGACUGCGAGCGUGACGGCGCGAGCAGGUGCGAAAGCAGGUCAUAGUGAUCCGGUGGUUCUGAAUGGAAGGGCCAUCGCUCAACGGAUAAAAGGUACUCCGGGGAUAACAGGCUGAUACCGCCCAAGAGUUCAUAUCGACGGCGGUGUUUGGCACCUCGAUGUCGGCUCAUCACAUCCUGGGGCUGAAGUAGGUCCCAAGGGUAUGGCUGUUCGCCAUUUAAAGUGGUACGCGAGCUGGGUUUAGAACGUCGUGAGACAGUUCGGUCCCUAUCUGCCGUGGGCGCUGGAGAACUGAGGGGGGCUGCUCCUAGUACGAGAGGACCGGAGUGGACGCAUCACUGGUGUUCGGGUUGUCAUGCCAAUGGCACUGCCCGGUAGCUAAAUGCGGAAGAGAUAAGUGCUGAAAGCAUCUAAGCACGAAACUUGCCCCGAGAUGAGUUCUCCCUGACUCCUUGAGAGUCCUGAAGGAACGUUGAAGACGACGACGUUGAUAGGCCGGGUGUGUAAGCGCAGCGAUGCGUUGAGCUAACCGGUACUAAUGAACCGUGAGGCUUAACCUUACAACGCCGAAGGUGUUU